AGUCUUUGAACGCAAGUUGCGCCCGAGGCUUGUCCGAGGGCAUUUCCGCUAGAGCGUCACC
rnacentral:rRNA from 1 species